GGUGUUUGUUUCAGUGGUCACUGAAGUGAUCUCUCCGCAGGCCCAUGCCAGCCAUACUGGCAGACUUGAAUUCUCUCCAGAGAAGUUUCUCGUCCAAGAUCCCCUGUAAAAAAGGACUACUGAAGGAAAAAGGAAAGAAAAUAGAGUUUCUUUCGUCUUUAUUCCGGGGUUUUCUGCAAUUUUUUUUAAGAGAAAGAUAAGCUACAUAAAAAGGAGUUUGCUUGGUGAGUAAUGGUGGAGUGAAGCUCAUGAUCUGAGUGUUUCAAGAUGUCAAUUAAGGGCACCUCAACCAAAUGCACCUCAUGCCCAUUGACUCAACAGGUCGAGACCUUAAGGAAAUGCAGCGUUCCAUUGCAUAAUGCUUCAAUAUGAGUUAACAAGACAAAUGAGCAGAGAAACUAUGACUCUCCAAGCUGCAGAAGGAAAAUGCUCCUAGGGAACAUCUGCUUUGGGACCAAGGACAGAACCCAGAGGGCUGACAAAGAAGCACCAUGGAGUUGGUACACAGACCUCUGAGAACAGAUCCUAAAUGGCUACUGCUGCUACCUGGCAUCUCACCAGAGAACUGGUCCUGGAAGCUCUCAAGGAAGGUUGAAGCUUUUAGCUGCUACUGACCAAUACAGGAAAAACAGAAAUGCAUGGAGUCUCACUAUGUCACCCAGGCUGGAGUGGAGUGGCGUGAUCUCGGCUCACUGCAACCUCCGCCGCCCAGGUUCAAGCAAUCCUCCUGUCUCAGCCUCCUGAGAAGCUGGAACUACAGGCACCUGCCACCAUGCCUGGCUAAUUUUUGUAUUUUUAGUAGAGACGGGGUUUCUCCAUGUUGGCCGGGCUGGUCUCAAACUCCUGACCUCAGGUGAUCCACCCACCUUGGCCUCCUAAAGUGCUGGGAUUUCAGGCUUGAGCCACUGCGUUCGGCUGAAAAUAGCAUUUACUUUAGAGUGUGAUUGUAAAGAUUAGUGUGAUAAUAUGUACAGAAUAUCUUAUAUUCACGGAGGGCACACAUUUGUUCAAUGAAUUGUACUGUUGAGAUCACAAAUCACAUUUCCUCACCCUUCAACCACUGUGCAUCCAACAUCAUUUCCAAGUAGGUAUGAUUUCUGAACCAUAAUAGAAACUAACACUUCCUGGGUAUUUCUAUUUUGUGCCAAGCACCACUGUAAGUGCUUUACCUAUAUUAAGUCAAUUAAUUCUCCCAAGAAUUUAUGAGGUAAAUGCUUUUAUUUUUCCAAUUUUACCAAAGAGGAAAUUAACUCAGAGAAAGUUAAAAGAAAAAAAAACCUUAUAUGACAUAGCUAGAAAGUGUCAGAGCUAGGGUUUGAACCCAAGCAGUCUGGCUCCAGAGUCUUAGCCACUGGUACAGUGAUUCUUUGAUAGGACUACUAAUAACUGUAUUCUUCUUGCUAACUAUUCUUUAAGUCUCCUGGGUAUUUACAGGACUGUCUUGUGUAAUUAUUAAUAGGCACUUUACCCAAUUCAGCCAAAACUCCUAAGGAGAAUCAUUGACUUAGAAAAACCACAUCUGAUUGAAUUGAGCACGCCAAGAAUGAGGCGAGAUGGUGUCUCCUUUCACAAGGGUAUCUGGACAGAGCUUAAAGUGUCAAUCUAAUUAUAAACUGUUAUUCUCCUAUUAUGGAAAAACCCUGUAAUUGGAUACUAGAAAAUUCUCUGUAAAAGCUUGUCCCUCAGGCAAGGCUUAAUACUGGUCUCAGAAGCCCAGUUAAGUAUGUUUUAAAAAAAUUGGUUAUCCAUAAAAAUACUGAAGGGAAAUACUUCCCAUUAAUGCAGUUGUUGUUGGAUGCUAACAUAAUAGGUAAUAUUUUUUCUUUUUCUUUUUUAAAAGUCUUUUAUUGAAAAUUUUUCUUAAGAGGAAGAAUUGUUAUAAAAACAGUGUAUUUCUUAAGUAUAAGAAAACAUUUCUACAAAAAGUAGAAACUUUAGAUAAGUAAAAAUAAAAUCAAUUAUACAUAAUUAAUUACACCAUUGCAUGUUAAAAAUCUGCUAUAUUUUCUAAAUUUUUAUAAUGUAAGGAUACUCAUAAAUUGUGAGUCUGUAUAAAAGAUGGAAUCAUAUUCUUCAUGUUGCUUUCUAUUCUGUUGUGCUUUUCACUUACAAGAAUACUGUGAAUAUACUUCACUAUGAAUAAAUGCACAUGUAUGU